rnacentral:lncRNA from 1 species
GCCCUACCAACCGAUCUCCUGCCAUCAAUAUGGAAGAUCAUCUCAAGCUCCAUGGCAUUAACUGCUGCACGACCUACGAUGGGACGAACCACCGUAUGUCUUAUGAAAAGAUAAGGUGAUGGUUCACCCCACGAAGUGACAAGACAACCAAGUGGUAGUCGGCAAAAGCAACUCGUAUCUGCUUAAGGAUGAACUCCAUUUGCCCGACUAACUGCGUAGUCGGACUUGGGAGUUGGGGGGGUAGGUGUUGGGGUAGAUCCCCGUCGCUUGACCGACUACC